rnacentral:SRP_RNA from 1 species
AGUCCGGUCUCACGCAAUGGGAAUCUACGAACCGUGUCAGGUUGGGAACAAAGCAGCACUAAGUAGAACCUCUCAUGUGCCGUGAGGGCGCCGGGCGGAG